rnacentral:rRNA from 1 species
GAUGAACGCUAGCGGCAGGCUUAAUACAUGCAAGUCGUGGGGCAGCAUGAGUAGCAAUACUUGAUGGCGACCGGCAAACGGGUGAGGAACACGUACACAACCUUCCUUCAAGCGGGGAAUAGCCCAGAGAAAUUUGGAUUAAUACCCCAUAAUAUAUUUGAUAAGGCAUCUUAUUAAUAUUAAAGCUUCGGCACUUGAUGAUGGGUGUGCGGCUGAUUAGAUAGUUGGCGGGGUAACGGCCCACCAAGUCUACGAUCAGUAGCUGAUGUGAGAGCAUGAUCAGCCACACGGGCACUGAGACACGGGCCCGACUCCUACGGGAGGCAGCAGUAAGGAUAUUGGACAAUGGACGAAAGUCUGAUCCAGCCAUGCCGCGUGAAGGAUUAAGGUCCUCUGGAUUGUAAACUUCUUUAUAUGGGACGAAAAAGGGCAUUCUUGUUCACUUGACGGUACCAUAUGAAUAAGCACCGGCUAACUCCGUGCCAG